AGUGGCGAACGGGUGAGUAAUGUAUCGGAACGUGCCUAGUAGCGGGGGAUAACUACGCGAAAGCGUAGCUAAUACCGCAUACGCCCUACGGGGGAAAGCAGGGGAUCGUAAGACCUUGCACUAUUAGAGCGGCCGAUAUCGGAUUAGCUAGUUGGUGGGGUAACGGCUCACCAAGGCGACGAUCCGUAGCUGGUUUGAGAGGACGACCAGCCACACUGGGACUGAGACACGGCCCAGACUCCUACGGGAGGCAGCAGUGGGGAAUUUUGGACAAUGGGGGAAACCCUGAUCCAGCCAUCCCGCGUGUGCGAUGAAGGCCUUCGGGUUGUAAAGCACUUUUGGCAGGAAAGAAACGUUCCGGGUUAAUACCCCGGGAAACUGACGGUACCUGCAGAAUAAGCACCGGCUAACUACGUGCCAGCAGCCGCGGUAAUACGUAGGGUGCAAGCGUUAAUCGGAAUUACUGGGCGUAAAGCGUGCGCAGGCGGUUCGGAAAGAAAGAUGUGAAAUCCCAGAGCUUAACUUUGGAACUGCAUUUUUAACUACCGAGCUAGAGUGUGUCAGAGGGAGGUGGAAUUCCGCGUGUAGCAGUGAAAUGCGUAGAUAUGCGGAGGAACACCGAUGGCGAAGGCGGCCUCCUGGGAUAACGCUGACGCUCAUGCACGAAAGCGUGGGGAGCAAACAGGAUUAGGUACCCUGGUAGUCCACGCC
rnacentral:rRNA from 1 species